rnacentral:lncRNA from 1 species
GUGACAAAGUGAAAGACAGACUGGAGUAGGGAGUGGAUGAAAACUAUUUAGGGGGUUGUUACAGUAGUCCAGGCAAGAGAUGGUGAGGCCAGGUGGCUGGAAUGGAAGAAGUUGGUUUGGAGUGACAGAUAUGGGAGCAAUCCAAACGACAAUGAAACCCCAGGAGCUGGUGAGAGUGCCAGGAGAACGGGCCCACAAAAGGAAGAGAGAGAAUGGAGGGCACAGCUCUUGAGGCCUCCAGAACUCCACGUCAGCAAGACAGCAAGGGCCCCCCGGAGGAAACGGGCUUCGAGAUGACAGGUCACACGGUGCAGCGAGGAGCGCGUGAGAGAGAGGGCCAGGGGAUGGCCGCGCGCUUCUGGAGAGGCCAGACAGAAGAGUGGGAAAAGUGCGCGUAAACUUGGCAAAUCCAAGCCCGUUAAUGACCCUCUAGGGCGUGGUUUGAGCAGAAAUCUUUAACCUCCUUCUUCAAUCUGAGUUAAAGACUAAGACGUGGAAUAUAAGAAAGCAUGAAGAAGCUUCCAGAAUGGGAUAACUUCUGUGAAAAGCAGGAUCCUGUUGGAAUGGUCACCAACACAUCUGAAGGUAGAGAUUCAGAGGACAGCCCUCCAAAUAAAGAGUCUUGUGCUUGUUUAAUGAAACAUCAAAGAAGCACCUGGAGAGACCACAGGAUCAUGAAAACGCACGUGAGCAGUGUUCCUGCUGGCUCAGAAGGUGUGUGA